AAGUGUGCAUACUGUCCUCUACAUUGAGGGAAGAGGCGAAUUUCAUAUAAUUUGGGGUUUGUAUUCCAAGGGUGGGAGUGGCGGAGGUGGACAUCUGGGUGCUGUGGCAGGCCCCUUAAGUUGAGCCUUCUCAGAGCGUAUCUCUGUCUCUCUGUGCAGCUGCGUGUGGCCCUGCCUGUGUGCUUCGCUGGAAAAGGCAGGGGAGCCUAGCCCAGCAAGACCAGGUAGAAGGGAGCCCAGGCUGGCAGAACAGUCUGACUCAGUGGCGUCCCAGCACCUCACGUGACAUCCCAGGAGGUCCAGCCCGUCACACCAAUGAAUACUAAAAUGCCAGUGGGACUAUUUGCAAUACUGAUGUAACAACGUGCAGUAGUGCAAGUCAACAUCGGACAAAAGUGUUUUACUGAGAUGAGACUAUCUGCAGUGGACACUUACAUAUCUCUUGCCAAGAAGUAUGUACUGACUACAGCAUCCUGUGACUGCUGCAUAUGAAAACACUCAGGUGCCACGGUGUAUUCAAAGAAGCAUUGGAGAGAUACUGCACAAGCCUACUCUGUUAUGCAAUUGUAAAUAAAUGAGUUGCACUCGCUUCUCUGCUUCAGGAUCCAAACUUUUGAGCUUCUCUAUAAAAACAUCCUUUUAUUGUGCAUACAGUGUUCUUGACAAGUCGAUGAAGCAUCCAGCGUGGUGGUGUUGGUGGGGGCUGAAAGUUCUGUCAGCGAGUGUCAUAACGUUAAUUUCAUAUGCCUUGUUUUUUCUGUCCUGAGAAACUGCUGUAUUGGAUUGGCAGAAUGUGUACCAUCAGAGGUGUCUCUGAAGUUUUUGAGGAACUUUCCGCAGAUAAUUGUGUCUACUUAGUCAUAAUGACCUAUAGCUCAUCCUUGACAAUCUCAAAGGCACCUAAACAGUUUGGACUCACCAUCAGCCUGGAAAAAAAACAAAGUCCACUUCCAGCCAGCUCCAUCAACCACUAUCACUGAGCCAAACAUCACCAUCAGUGGUGUAGACCUCUCCACGCGGAGCCAUCAGGAAAUGGACUUUCAAAAAUUCUCAGGGCUUCUAAGGGGGAGGGUGGGAUGGUCGUUUACCUGGCUGCAGGGCAGUGGAGUCCAAACCACUGACCAGA